rnacentral:tRNA from 1 species
GCUGAGGUGGCGGAAAGGCUACGCAGUGGACUGCAGAUCCAUUUAUCCCGGUUCGAUUCCGGGUCUUAGCU